rnacentral:tRNA from 1 species
GGUGGCUCAGUGGUAGAGUGCUUGCCUUGCAUGCAAGAGGCCCUGGGUUCCAUUCUUCAGCACCA